CCNGUGGCGAAGNCGGCCAACUGGGCUUUUACUGACGNUGAGGCUCGAAAGCGUGGGGAGCNAACAGGAUUAGAUACCCUGGUAGUNCACGCCGUAAAACGAUGAAUACUAGGUGUGGGGGGACUGACCCCUUUCCGUGCCGCAGUUAACACAAUAAGUAUUCCACCUGGGGAGUACGGCCGCAAGGUUGAAACUCAAAGGAAUUGACGGGGGCCCGCACAAGCAGUGGAUUAUGUGGUUUAAUUNGAAGCAACGCGAAGAACCUUACCAGGUCUUGACAUCGUGCGCAUAACCCAGAGAUGGGUGAAGCCCUUCGGGGCGCAUAGACAGGUGGUGCAUGGUUGUCGUCAGCUCGUGUCGUGAGAUGUUGGGUUAAGUCCCGCAACGAGCGCAACCCUUACGAGUAGUUGNUACGCAAGAGCACUCUACUAGGACUGCCGUUGACAAAACGGAGGAAGGUGGGGAUGACGUCAAAUCAUCAUGCCCCUUAUGACCUGGGCUACACACGUAAUACAAUGGCGGUCAACAGAGGGAAGCGAAACCGCGAGGUGGAGCGAAUCCUCAAAAGCCGUCUCAGUUCGGAUUGCAGGCUGCAACUCGCCUGCAUGAAGUCGGAAUUGCUAGUAAUCGCGGAUCAGCACGCCGCGGUGAAUACGUUCCCGGGCCUUGUACACACCGCCCGUCACACCAUGGGAGUCGGUAACACCCGAAGUCGGUAGCCUGACAGCAAUGAGGGCGCCGCCGAAGGUGGGAUUGAUGACUGGGGUGAAGUCGUAACAAGGUAGCCGUAUCGGAAGGUGCGGCUGGAUCACCUCNUU
rnacentral:rRNA from 1 species